ensembl:lncRNA
AUUCUUCGUUCUGACUCAGGAUCCACACUCCAGUCUGCCUGCUGAAACAAUUGUUCUUUGGACUGUCAUUGACAAUGAAUUCCUUUAAAUCAUCUAAGAAAACAUGUGUAAUCCACUGGAAAUUUCAAGGCAUUGAGUCAUCAUCACUCGCCUUGUCCCCCUCAAAUUCCCAUCUCUUAUGUAAGGCUGAGUCACAUUUCAUGAGGUCCGGGCACUGAAGAAAGGAACUGGAAAACUCUCAAGGGAAAUGUCUGAUGGAGUUUGCAAGAGUCAACUGCUGUUCUGCUCCCAAGCUCAGGAACAUUGUGACUGGUGCCAGGACAGGCCCAUGAAAUGAACAAAGGGACAAAGACAACAGAAGGAUAAAUGACAGCAACAGAGUCAAGGGGGGCCAAAACUCGGAUGGAUGCAGGGUCACUGACUUCAGCAACUAGAUAUGACAAGCACCCUACUGAAACAUUGUCUAUGAAGCCUUAGCUUACAGACUUCAGGGAGUCUCUCACCUGGGGAAAUGAGUUUACAUCAGAGUGGAUACCAGUGGCCACGCCCCCUGACCCCCACCCCCCACCCCCACCCCCGCGCCAUCCCCUGGACUCCUACCUGGGAAGUGAAGAGCCUAUCUACAGAUUUUGCUAUGAAACCUCCUCAAUCCUCAGAAAGAUAUGAAAAAAAGUUCCUGCUCCUGCCACAUAGGCCCUGAUUUCCACACUUCAGAGCCUCUGCUAUGAUGUCUUUGUCUCUGGUGCUGGGGCCCUGCUUGUGUCUGCUAAUCUCUUCCAAUAAAUCCCACACCCCCCAAUAAUCUGUCUGUGUCCCUUUUGAACUGGCAUCCAGACCUUUCCAUUGUCUCCAGAGUCAGUGGGAUGGAGUGAAAAGUGGGAAAGAGAGAAGCCACCUGGCUUCAUGUUUUCCUUGGCUAGAACUAGGAUUCUACUCAAGGUUUCUGCCUGGGGAUAGUAGUUUGGUUGAGCAGGGUGGCAGCUGGUUGCUGUAUUUUUCUCUGUCUAUCCAGGCUGAGAGGGGACUGAAGGUCGGUCACAGAAUAUGUAAACAGGAGGAGGUCUCCCUGAAAGCUUGCCAUUCUGGAAGGGCCUGCAUGUCUUCAGGGUUGGGAGUUCCAGGGCUAGAGUCCUGAUGGGGGAUCCUACCUGCUUUUAAGGGGGGCUUCAUAUACAGAGUGUUAUAGACCAAUCUGAUAUGAUAAGUCUUCCAAGAUCUAAGAGACCACAAAGGUGACCUAAAAACCACUCUCCAGAGCCCCUGUCUGAAGAGCGUUCCUUUUCUCAGUAUAAGAGUUGUGCCUGCUGUUAUGUCUAGUGGCUUUCCCAAUAACACCUCAGACAGGCAUAGCUCCCCUUCCCGAGCUGCCUGUAUCUAUUCAAGUUCUCGCACUUACUCUGAGGGACACCUGGUUGUUCUCUCUGUUUCUGAGAUUCCAUUCCUGGAGAGCCAGUCCUGGCUAACACUUUAGCUCACUGCAGGAGUUGGACAGCGGGUCAUUCUUUAUUAACCAAGUGCUUUGAGGCUACAUGGGAGCACACAGCAGUGUGAACCCUAGUGAUGGUGUUAGCUCUGCUUGUCUUCCUUUCUGGGAAAGUGUUGGGGGUAGCCUCAGAGUUUCUGACCAGUGAACUAGUGACUGGGCCUGUGAGUCAGACUAUCCUGAACCCCACUGUGCAGUGUAAAGCAAGGUCUCUGCAUACACAUCAGCAUGUGUCCGUGUGUUCCAGUAGGUUUAGGUGUCUGUCUAUUGAGCUGACUUUUCUCCCUGGCCCCAGAUUUGGUUCCCAAGUUCCCUAGCCUUCUCCCCUUGUCUGUUCCUUAUCUCUGGCUUCAGUGUUUUAAAAAAAUGUCAUAUUGAGCAGCCAGGACUACUCAGAGUCCAGAAUGCAAUAAGUUUACAGCAGGGGAUGGGGCUCCGCCAGGGUCUGGCUUCACAGCCUGCAGCUGGUCAGAGUCAGAGGGGUUCUUGGAGACUAGCCAUGCCUGCUGCAGGCUGUUCCCUGGCUUCCCACUCAGCCAUCUCAGCCUCAGCUCAGGGAAUUUCGGAGAUUAGUAGUUAUGAUUGGGGGUGGGGGCUGAGGGUAGGGAAAGAGAAUGAUACUCUUCUUGUCUACCAGCAUUUAAAUAGGAGAUGGAGGGACAGGGUUUCUCUUGGUUGGGACAAGACCCACUGGAACACCCCUCCCAGCAGGCAAUUGAGUCAGCACUCCUGGGUGUUCUGGGGUGAGAGAGUUCUGGCUGCUCCCCACAAGCCCCCAGCCCCCCACUGCCCUUCUCUAAGAUUCCAGAGAGACACAGAUCACUGGCUCUUUCAGGAUCUUGGCUGCUUUUCAGUUCCCACGAGGACUAACAAGAAGAAAAGGGCUUCCACCCUAGCAAUGGGAAAGUAGCUAGGCCCCAGGUGGGGAGUGUCUCAAGAUAGUCAGGGCUCUGACAGUUUCUCCAAGCUGAGUGUUCGAAGAUCAACCUCUCCUCAUGGACUCAGGUGUGCACCUAGAAGGGGCCCAGCCAGAGACAGAUGUUUUCUCUGUCUUUCCAGACCAUGGCUUUUGCAAUUAGACCUAGGAAAACAAUUUUUUCCCCUUUCUUCAGUUCUUUAAAAAAAAUCAAGAUUGGCUUAAAUACAAAGUGAUCAUUUGGGUCUUUUGAAGGUUUAAAAAAAAGUUGGGGGAGAGAUGACCUUUCGAGAAUAAGGCUUUGUUUCCAGUUGCCUCCCACCCCCAGAGUUCCCAGCUCCUUCUUGGUCAGGAAAAGGCUUUGCUUGUCUUUGACUGAAGACUGGAGAUGAGAUAACACCCCUGUGUUUCAAAGACAUUUCCCCAAGGGCCCAACUGCUUGCAAGGCCUCUGAGGAAACCUUGGCCAACCUCCUGGCUCCAGCAGCUGGCCUCAAAACUAAGACUGCUUGGCCUGUCCCGGAAGCCUGUGAAUCCCCAAGUCGGCAAGAGGCUGCACUGCGAGAUCACCCUGUGGCUCAGAUGCCUGGCUGCAGGCCCUGGGCCUGCCUCAGCCAGGCUAGAAGCUAGGGUAAAUAAGCACAUUUAUCUUAUACAGACCUCAUCUUCUGAGGAAUUGUACUGUGUGGUGAUGCUAUCAGCAUCAAAAGGUCUUUGCUCCUGUGGAGAGGGGGAGGCACAAUUCUCCUCAUCGGACACUUGAUAAUUAUUGAUGGCUGCUGUCAUCUAUAGGAUUUUUUGGCCAUCAGGUUGUAAUUUUAGUAGAAUGUUAACUUCUUUGCCCCAAGACAGAAGACGGUGGCUCUCCCAAAACCCAUUUGACUAUAUAACCCACAAAGGCUAGUUUGCAUGAUGCUACUGUAGGCACCGCUUGAAGACAGGGCAUCUGAGAGAGGCAUAUUGGGAGAAAAGAGGGAGUCUUAGUCUAGAGAGAGAACAGACUGGAAGCCUCAGGACCUGAGAUCUUGACACCAAAGGGCAGCCAGUGUGGAAUAUGGAGCCCUACCAUGACCUUGUGUCCAGGUGUGGUACAGAGGUAGCCAGAUGCCUCAUCAGACACUGGCAUCAUAUGUGGCACAAGAGUGGCAGGCAGGGUCCAGGCUGUCUCACAUGGAUAAAACGUGUCAGUAGAGCAACUGUUUACUAGUUCUAGACCACCUUUACACGCUCAGUGGCCACCUGGCCCCAUGGCCAGUCCCUUGAACUCGGUGUCUUAUUUUCUUCCUCUGUGGUAGAAGAUGGGGAGAAACACACACACACACACACACACACACACACACACACACACACACACACACAGAGUGAAACAGCCCAACGCAGGGGUCACCUGAGACAAAGGGACUGUUUUGGGACCACCAGCUAAGUAUCACCAGCUGAGUUCUGUCUUGGGCCACAGAGGCAGGUUUAUUGCCAAAAAACCAGCCUAUUCCCAGUUGGCCAGGGCUGGUCUGCCUGCUGGAGAGAUCUAGAGAGUUCUUGGUGGACGGCGGCUGCCUUGGGAGAUUGCGGCUGGCCCUUUCCCUCUUGCUUGUGUUUGGGAUUAACACGUAGCCCCUUUAACCUUUUCAUUUUUCUAACGAGAUGGAAACUUGGCUGGUGACCAAGCCUGGACGUGCUUGCAGAGUGGCUGGGCUCAGGCCCAGCGCACGGUAAUUGUGGUCAUAUGUGAGAUGCUGGCCUGCUGGGUGUUAUAGCUGCAGGACAGGACUUCCAGGCAGAGAGAAGCUGAGGAAAGAAAGGCAAAUGGUGUGGCUUUGGGCUCCCAUCCUCACCUAUCUGUCCCUUGGUUUUCCUGUUAAAAAUAGUGGGAUUGGCUUGUAGGACCUGGCUGAUCUGAGAGUCCAGAUGGCUUGAGAAACAGCCUAGCUCUCAUAGAGUCCCUCUUCUCAGCUCUGGAAUAACCUUCCGUGUACACAGGAAAGAUGAGGUAAGAGGCUCCAGGGCUGUGAGUCUGCUCUGCCUCGUCAGUCUAAAUGUGUUUUCACAGGACACACAGAAGGCUGGGUACCCUGAGCCACUACAUACCUACGUAAUGGUUGUGACUGCCACUAUCCUAGGAAGGAGAAUUCUGGGUCAAAGAGGCUAACAGAGUGGGAUGGGAAUGCAAGCAGAAGGGUAUAAAAGUGGUUUACAGGAGCACACGGUGAAGUCCUGAGCAUACAGAAGUGAACUUGUUAAAUACCAGGAGCCAAUAGCUUCAGGGGCUGGAGGUGGGGACUGGGAAAAUCACUUGGCUUGUAAAGGGGCAGUAAGUAUGACAGCUGAGAAGGAGACCCUGACUCUGGACCUCUUGGCUUGCCACUAAUCCUAAUAGUUAGGAGACAGAAGCAGGAGGAUCCAGAGGUGAAGGCCAGCCUGGGCUGCAGAGGGAAACCCUGUGUGUGUGCGUGUGUAGUACUAGUAUAGGAGUAAUAGAAGGAGAAGGAGAAAGAGGAGAAGGAGGAGGAGGAGGAGGAGGAGGAGGAGGAGGAGGAGUUAUCUACAUAGCUCAGUCAGUAGAGGCCUGCACACAGGCCUGACAAUCUAAUCUCCUAAGAGUUCUUUUCUGACUUUUGUAUCACACACACACAGCAGAAAAACUUAAAAAGAAAGGAAAAGCAAAACAAAGGACUUGAGUAGUUAUUUUUUUCCAAAGAGAGUAUAUAGUUGACCCAUCAACAUGUGAAAAAGCACUUGGCUUCACAGGGAACAAGGGAAAUGCAUAUCAAAAGCACAGGGAGCUACCACUUUGCAUCCAGUAGGAAGGCAAUAAAAAAAAAAAAUGGAACCGGAAAAUAACAAAUGAUAAAUAAGCACUGCUGCUGGGAAGGUAGCCUGGUAUAACUGCUGGGAGAAAUGGCUGCCUGGCUCCCCGAAGCAUUAAACACACAACGAUCCACCCACUCCCCUCCCAGGUAUAUAUAACCAAGAAUGAGAGGCAGGAACACCAGAGCUGACAGCCAGUUGCAAAUCAGUGUCCACAGCAGCAUUCACAAGACACAAAGGUGGAAAAACCCAACUGCCUAUCACUAGAAAAAUGAUAAAGAUGCUAUAUGUAUACCUGGCUGAAUGUCAUUGAGUCACAGAAGGAAAUAGAAUUUUGAUAUAUACUGCAACAUGGAUGGACCUGAAAUAAAAUGGAAACAGAGGUAAAAAUACUGCGUAAUUCCAUUCAGGCAAGGCACUGAGGUCAAUUGAGCUACAGACAGAGAGUAGAAUAGAUGCUACCAGAGGGUGGGAGAUGGGAAAGGGAGAGUUAUUAUUUAAUGGGCAUACAGUUCAGAAGAGGGAUGAUGAAAAAAAUUCAGAGCAUAGAUAAAUCUGCCUAUCAUGUGAUAGACACACAACCUUCAAUGUAGUUGAUUUUCCUGGAGCAAACUGUCACAAGCUGGUUGGAAUAUUACAUUGUACACUUUUAUAACAAAAAAAAACGUAUAAAAACUCAAACAGAAAUGUGUCAUUAGAAUUAUAUAUUACAAAUCCCACAGUUAUACAGCCGCUGCUUUAAUACAAACGUGUGUGGGUGUGAGUUUGUUUGUAUCCUCGAGCACAGGUACCCAUGGAGACCAGAAGAAGCAACAGAUCCUCUGGAGCUGGAGUUACAGGUGGUUAUGUGCACCAGAAACCAAACUCAGGACCUCUGAAAGAACAGCCAGAGCUCUUAACCACUGAGCCCUCUCCCCAGCCCUAUACCCUGCUUCUUCAAGUUACAUUUUGUCAUGGGCAUUUCUCCUUUCUCUUUUCUUUCCCUCUCUCUCUGUGUCUCUCUUUCUUUCUUUUCUCUCUCUUUCUUCAUUUUUCUUCUCUCUCUCUCUCUCUCUCUCUCUCUCUCUCUCUCUCUCUCUCUCUCUCUCUCUCUCUCUCUCAAGACAGGUUUUCUCUGUAUUGCUUUGGAGCCUGUCCUUGAAUCUCGAACUCACAGAGAUCUGCCUGCCUCUGCCUCCCGAGUGCUGGGAUUAAAGGCGUUGCACUACCAACCCCUGACUUUCUUUUCUCUUUCUUCUUUCUUGCUCUCUUCCUUCCUUCCUUCCUUCCUUCCUUCCUUCCUUUCUUUCUCUUUUCUUUUCUUUAUCUUUUCUCCUUUCUUUCCUUCUUCCUUCCUUCCUUCCUUCCUUCCUUCCUUCCUUCCUUCCUUUCUCGUCAGCUUCUACUUUAAAUGUUGCUUUGCAUUCCAUUCAGUGUCAAGGGCAAAUACAGUUAACCACUUGUCUGCUUUAGGGCAUGUCUGCCCACUCAACUUCAUUUUUUUAAAGUAAUACUGCAGAGGGUUUGUGUGUGCCUUUCCACAUUUUUGAACCCUUGCCAAAAUUUCCAGGGGGUAGAAUUACUGUGGAUGAGAACAAACAUUUUUAUAGUCUGCAAUCUCUGUCACCAUAUUAUUUUCCUUGAGCAUUGCAAGAAGCUGGCAACACACUGAGCUGCCUAUUUCACCAUGCUUUCCUGAGUCCUUGAGUAUCAGUUCAAACACUUCUUUCUAUUUAGCUUUGUAUUUUGUUGGUGAUUAGCAAGCUGGGGCGUGUUCCUGCGAAUCUGUCUACAAAUUGUAAUUUGUUUUAUGUAAAUUGCUUCAUCAUCUUUGUCCCCAUUUAUAAGUAAGCUUUUUGGUUCAUUAUUGUCAGUUAGCAUAAACUCCUGAUAUAAUAUUCCUAUCUGAAAACUUUUAAGGAAAGAGAUAGAAUACAAACGUGUGUGUGUGUGUGUGUGUGUGUAUACAUACACACAUAUGUUCUACUUUAAAUGUUCUAAAUAUUUUGCCCUUUUUCAUUCUUUGCUUGUUUUGUUUUGACAGGAUCUCAUGUAGCCCAGGUUGGACUCAAAUUCUAUAAGUAGCUGAGAAAGACCUUGACCUCUUCUGAUCCUUCUGCCUCCAUGUCCUGAGUGCUGAGAUAUUGAGAUAUAGGGAGAGUGUUGCUGAUUUAGAACCCAGGUCUCCUUGUUCUCCUUGGCUUCCACGUAGAACGCAUGCUUGGCCUUUCAGGUAUACAUCUACUGAAUGGCACAAAUGAAAAGUCAGAAUGCAUUGAGGACCACACGAGCUAUGUGUACUCAGGACACUGCGGCAGAGUGCACGACCUUACUGACCAGGGAGCUUCUAACAGAUGUGGAGGACAGGUAGGAACACUGCCUCGCCCAUCACGGAUGGGGGUAGACUCCAGAAGGAAAAGAGGAAGUUAGCCUGUACUGUAUUUGGCUUGUGGUUGUGGUCUGGCGAAAACUGUUGGUGCUUGCACAUGAGAUAAGCACAGAAACUCUGAGUGAAUGCUUAGAAGUCGUUACCGCAGUUUCCCACCAGGCCCAAGACACGGUCGUUUUUCUAGAGAUUCAUUUUGAUAACAUUUCACAAAAGCAUUUAUCCACAACUGAUCCUUCACCGCCGAGAGCUUGAGAUGCACACCCUGCAACUGCUCAGUGGUAUCUGUGGCACCCCUCUCCCCGCUUUGGUCAUUGCUGUUGUUAGGACUGUGACUCCCCAGGAAGAGGCCCAGAAGAAUCUGGGGGAAAUCCAGAUGUCCCCAGGAAGACAGGGCUGUGGAAGCUUGAGGACAGCAUGAAGCUAGGGGAACGUCCUGCUCCCGGAAUGUUCUCCCUGAAGAUAACCUCAGCAUCCCACAUUGCCUCUGCUCUCAGCACCCCCUGCUGUGGCUGAGGUCCUAUCCUUUCCGCUGCAGACUGAGCCUGGUUUUCUGGUUUUAGCUGCUCCCAGGCACGUCAAACGUCAAACGGAGACAUUUUUGUUAAACACUUACUCUGAUGAACUCAUUUGCUUUUUCCCAGUGGCCUUGUGAGAUACGCUCUAUUUUUAAUCUUCAAUCUUAAAACAAAAUAGAGAUGGCUUUUCAAAAUUCACUCUGUAAGUGGCAGGAGUGGAAGAGGGCUUCCAGACUGCCCAUUCCAGGCUCAGGAUCCAAACUAGCUUUUGACAUAUUGGCUGGCUCUACCUUCUAGGGCCUUCAAAUCUGGUUCGGUUGGUGAGACCUGGAGUCUUAGCCAUCUGACAGUCCUGACUGUACACCCAGGUGAAGGGCCAGACCCUUACCCAGCCCCCUGCUUUAGCAGUCAUGACAGGCUGCAGAAAAGACCCAACAAGACAAAGGCCCCUGACUCAGCAACGUGUGCUUGCCUGACUUUGCCAGACCUCCUAGUCACCAGGAACUCAGAUACCUCCAUGUGGCAAGGAACCAAUCAGAAGUUAGCUGGCGGACUCUAGGCAUGCUUUACGGUAAAAGUGGGUAACAGUGGUAUGCAGAGCAUAGGAACCACCCUGAGAGGGCUUAUAGGUCAUAGCAACCAGCUGACCAAUCAACACAGGACAUGUUGCCCAACCCUGGAAGUGCACCAAUCCUGAGACUGUUGUGGACUUCAGACACUCCCCUUACACACCCCAAUAAAUUCCCUGCCUUGUGGUUUCCCCAGGUCCUUCUCUCCACCUGCCGUGAUGAACGGGACAAAAGGCAGUUAACUCG